rnacentral:rRNA from 1 species
UACGAAGGGGCUAGCGUUGUUCGGAAUUACUGGGCGUAAAGCGUAUGCAGGCGGAGUCGUUAAGUCGGGGUGAAAUCCCGAGGCUCAACCUCGGAACUGCCUUCGAUACUGGCGACCUUCGAGUCCGGAGAGGUGAGUGGAACUCCGAGUGGUAGAGGUGAAAUUCGUAGAUAGUUCAGAAGAACGACCAGUGGCCGAAGGGCGGACU